AAAAUGCUUGCUGUUUCUUGAUCCCCUUUUCAUUUCCUUCUUUCCUCUCGCUCCUCCUUCCACCUGAUGAGCUCUGGCUGGUAGCGUUGCUCAACUCACUGGCGCGGCCAUGGGGUGGCCGUCUAUGGUGCCUUGUUUGGCUCCUAUACGGCUUGUCGAUCUCUCAGACCGGUCAACGGCGACGGAGUGGGCCCAAAGGAGAAGCGGCUCAAGGGAGGAAGCAAGCUCGUCUAUCUGGACGACGCCGUUGCCGUCGGCGUCCAUCCAGGUGAUGUGGGUGCGGAUCUUGUCUCCCGCAGACAGGUUGGAUCCACCUUGAUUGUGAGAUGCUGACGGCGUUGUUUUCGAUCGCAUCGUGGUUGCCCCCGAGCGAGGCAGCCUGGCAGGUUAUCUUCAUCCUGGACUGGCAGCCUGAUUUCGGCAGCUCAUUCUUCCACUUGCAGGUCCCCCUUCUCUCUUUUCCUGCCCCUCUCAUGUUUUUGUUUCUUAUCCUUUUUCUGCAUGUGUAUGGGUAAACCAAUAUAAUGCGAUCAAGAUAUUGCUUGUUAGGAUGUAUAUCUGUUUAUGGCCCCCUGCCCCGUUCAUAUUCUACAAAUUUAUUAGUAAGUAAUUAGUGUAUUCGUGAUUAGCCAUGUUUUACUAUUUAGUACUACCAAAGAUAAAGUCUAUAGGAAAAUAGGUGCGAUUGCAUCCUACAUAUGAACUAAAAUGAUGCGUGGAUGUUGUCACUAUUGGCUUGUACUAUAGAAUAAUCUUAAAAUAUCAGAUAACACAAAGUGUUGACAUUUGGUAUUAUCCAGCUAUUUCCAUCAAAUGUUGAUGCUUGUUUCCAAUACUUCUAGGAGUAGUAGAUCAUAUCCAUUCUGCCAUAUAAUGCUAGCAUAGAAAAGUCAGUUUUUAUUUUGAAGGUAGUUUUGUAGUGUACUAUUUUUCCAUCUACUUAUGUUUAUCUAAAAGGCUAGUAGCAUCUGGAAGUUUGUUUUUUUCCCUACCUUUAGAAUAUUUUUGUGUAGACUAUGUUCUUGACCACAUCAUCCUUGUUGUUAGUUCAUUUGCUAUUGAAAAGAAAAUAACAGGUAUGAUCAAGUUAGUAGGCUAUUACUGGCAAGUGUUUUCACAAAGUAUCUCCUUUUUUCUUAUGUCCCUCAUGAACUCAUUGAACUUUAUGUGGAACAUUCGAUCAACAAUAUCAGGUUUCUGUGAUGUUGUUUGGCCUACUGCCAUAAGCAUAGAUUGAAUAUCCGGCCAAGCUGUGUUGGACGUGAAUGCCACAAAUAGAUCUGUGUAUCAAGCCCAUCGACAUCUUGCUAUAGCAUCUUGGUAGUUUUGUGCUUGUAUCUGAGGUUAUCUGUGAAGCUGGAUGGCAGUAGUAUUCUCCUUCCUACCUCGUCAGCCCUUGUAUCUCCUCUUUAUGUUGCGUCCCGCAAGUCAGCAUAUAAUUCUGCUCUUAUGUUUCCUUGAUGUUUUUUGAUCCAGUCUAGUCUGUACUACAUGCAAGGGCAUCCACGUUGAACAUCCGAAGUUGCUCGUUCAUUGAGGUUCUUCUCGCCUUGUAUGCAUGUCACAACUCCCUUCUCAAGUUGCUCUUUCUUCAUACCAGAAAAUUGCACCACACCAUUCACACUUGCGUGUUGGACUUCCGAAGUUCCCGAUUUCCAUAUCUGUCCUUUUCGAUGUCCUGUUUAAGUUUCUGAAUUUAGCAUCAAUUUGAAUAUUAGUAUGUUCUUUUUUCUUACUAAUACAACAAACUUAAUAGAACUGACAUAUCUGGUUAUUCUGCCCUUGAUUUUUUCUAUUGUACACUUUGUGUUACUUUUAGUCAUGUACACACUUAACAGAAUUACCAGGUUCAUGGAUGUCCAAAUUGUAUAUCUUCAUUGAAUUUUCUUGCUACUUACCUCGUAGUUUUACCAGCCUAUGCUUUCCUAUGGCAAUUCAACAAUGCUGAUUUUGCCUCAGUCAAUGCACAUGAUUGACAUCUGUAAAUGAUAUGGUUCCCUGUGGUAAUUCAAGAAUGCUGAUUUUGCCUCCGUCUUGAUUAAGCCAUGUUGCAUGGAAAUGUGUUUUCAUGUUUAAAAAAAAAGCUGAUAGGUACAAUCAGGAACAAAUGCAACAUGUUUUUGUGAUUUAAUAUAACACUUGGAAGGAAUUGAACACAUAGAUAUCACAACUGAUGCACAAAGAAGAAGCAAGCUAUAAUGUUACUUCCAGUAUACCAUACUACAGUCGUGCAACAUAUAAGGGAAGUUUUCAAUUAUAUAAUUUUUUCUCCCGCUAGAGUCGGCCUUGUUGGUUAAAUUUAUGGUCAAAGUUGAAGCACGGGAAUAGAGGAAGCACUAUAUUUUGGAAUGGAGGGAGUAUUAUUGAUUGUCUGGAUUCAGAUCAAUAUUAUAAUAUUUUUUUUCUGUCCAUGCUUAAAUCAAUUAUGAACACAAAUGUGCCUAACUGGAAUUGUUGCAUUAUAUAAUUUAGGUGUAACAUUUUUGUGAUAUCACUUAUUAAAAGUCCAUGAUUAGCAACGAAUCACCUUGCUGGAUUGUAUAUUUGAUUGCUUUUAACUACCUCGGUAGGUUUCUCACAUUAUUGCAAUAUGCUCGACCUUUUAUUUUCAUCGCUUCUUCCUGCACAAUAUAGAAAACAUGUAUUAGAGAAGAUGAUAUUGUAAAAUUGGUACGGAGUACUGCUUAAGGUUAUGGAGAUCUAUGAUUUUGAUUAAUUAUUCGCCUUACAAUUUUUUGUUUGUUGUAGAAGUAAAGGAGAUCAACUUCCAAGAUCAGUGAUUGUGGUGAAAGCUUUAAUGUUAAAGUGGAUGUUAAGUUUCAAUCAUCAUGAUGAAGACACGUAUUUGUGAGGGUCUUUUACCCUUCUGCUGCUGUUAGAUGAUAGUCUAUAUGAAAACAUAUAUGGGUGAAGAAUUGUAAUAGGAAUUAGAAAGCCCCAUAUUACAAUUAUUAAUAUAUGGUUUCAUAUUACAAAUACGAUUAAUAUAAAUAGACUAAUACGAA